ACCGAUGACGGGGAUUACAACGUCAAGCUUCGCAAUCUCGUGCGCUUCCUCGAAGAGGGCGACAAGACGAAGAUCACGUUGCGUUUCCGCGGUCGCGAAAUGGCUCACCAGGAAAUCGGUAUGCGGAUGCUUGAGCGUCUGCGCACGGAUCUCGAGGAAGUCGGCCAGGUCGAGCAGAUGCCGAAGAUGGAAGGGCGCCAGAUGAUCAUGGUGCUCUCGCCGAAGAAAAAGAAGUAACGGGCUCGCGCGCUUCGCGCGCAGGUUCGGAAGUGGUUCGGCGCGUUGCCCGGUCAGGGCGGCGCGCCAACAAUGACGGCGG
rnacentral:misc_RNA from 2 species